UACACAUACACUCACACCCCACACUCAGGGUACUUUCCGCUCUGAUCAGCAGAGAUAAAUUUUCCUACCUGACAGUUGACUGUAAAUCAAGAAGUGUGUUUUAAUAGACACCACCUUUCUGCUUCUGUGUGCUGCUGUCUCAGGCAAUCCUUCACCUCGCGGGACACAGGAUAUGCAGGCUCUUGGCACGUUCUCUCCACUGCACAUGGAGAGGUGGUGCUUAGCAGCAAGAUCCUGUUCAUCAGUCUGAGAUCAAUCCCUCUUAAAAGGCAAGGAUGAAAAACCAAGCACCUUUCUUCUCCUUCUGCUAAAGACAGAAGCAUGUUGAGGGGAGCAACCCAGUCUGUUGUGCAGAGUACAGAAUGUUCUCUUCUGUGAACUGCGCUUGAACUUUUCCAUCCCACUUUGUUUGAGGAACCAUACAGACCAGAGGAGAAAACACAGGGAAGAUAACCCCAAAAAUCAUUGAAAUCUUAAGUGUUCUCUCUGAUUUUGGCCCAGAUCAUUUGUUUUUCACGGCUCGAAAUUAAAAAUCCCGAGUAUAUAGUUCUUGGAAGAACAAAAUGCCUGAUGGCCUUUUUCUAAGACCGGACUUGGUGACUUUAGAAAAUUAACAAGUUUGUCACCGCCUCUCCUCAGAUUUCUUUUUUCUCCCUCUUGGGCAUUCAAGGGACAAUGACAACAAAAGCUAUUUUCCUGUAAGGGAAAGGAAAGACCCCCAGUGCCUGUGAUUUCUCUCUUAGUUGUUUAGGCUAUCGUGGUAUUACAAACAGUGUUCCCCAA